CAAAACCAGAGAGAGUGGUAAAUGAUGACCGAGAGUGCGCUAGAACAUCAAGAGAGAAAAAGAAAAACCACCCAGCUUACCAAACCUAAUAAAGAUGACUAAAACAUCUGAUCCUGCAAAAAGAACCAUCAUGGCCAUGGUUGCCUUAAGAGCUUACUAAAUGACCAAGGUACAACAACGACGAGCAAAGCGAAGCCAUCCAACGUAUGCGUGGCAACAUAAACAAAUCAGUUCAUCACUUUAUUGCAACGAGUUCUGUGCGGUAAUCUGCAGUGGCAAAGGAGAUGACAGCCACGGCGCCACGGCAUCUAUGGGAUCCUUCUCAUCUCCAUGUCGUUUUUUGUCGGCAACCUGAAGCUAUUCCCCAGAUCUAUGGUCACGUCCUUCCUCCCUUCUCCGAUUGCUAUAGUUCUUAUCAGCAGAAUAAUUUUGCCCAUGGCCUCAGAUGCAGAAUUUUUUUAGCACGCCCACCACAUGUUUGAUAGAAUGCUUAUAAGAGAUGUUGUACCAAUUUCUUUUUACAGUUGAAUAAAGCAUUGACCUUUAGAUAUUUAGAUAUUGAGCUGUUCAUUUUCCACUCCACUAUCAAUUCUGUAUUAAGAACCAGUUCAGUUUUGAUAUCUGGUUUCAGGUGUUCUUAACAGACAAGAUAAAUCUUCAAUAAAGAUGCAUCGUGUGCUGUGAAAUCUAGGGAAAUGAUCAGGUAAUAUGCAAAGGAAAUUUAAAGAUGAUUUCAUCAACACAGCACACGUGGUUCAAAGGACAAGCUAAAUCUUUAAGAAGAUGCAUCGUGUGCUGUAAAAUCUAGGGAAAUGAUCAGGUAAUUAAUAAGCAAAGCAAGUUUAAAGAUGAUUUCAUCAACACAGCAUACGGGGUUCGAAGGAUAGUGCUGCAGCAUGCAGAUGGGUCCUAAGAGAAGCGUGUCAGAUCCUAUAAAAUUAAAUUCUAUGUAUGGAUGGUGACAAAAGAAGAUCGGCCAUGUUUUUUGUUGUAUUUAGGAAAGUGUCAUUAUGAUUCCAACUCAGUUGGCCGAAUUGUAUUAAGAAUUGCUAUGUAAAAUAUAUUAAUAAAUUUUAAAUAAAAUUACUUCAGAGCUCUCA